UAGAAUUGGGUUGAAGAUCUCUAUUGGAAAUGGCUCAACAUAAACUACCUGGCAUGCGUGGUGUCAUGGUUCAUCAUGGAUUUAUUAUGCUUAUCACGAUGCAAGAAUUCAACCUCGCACUUUGGAUGCUGUUAAAAGAGCCAAGGAUUUAUAUGGAGACAUCAACAUCAUGGUGAUGGGGCAUUCUAUGGGAGGGCUGUGGCAUCCUUUUGCAGAUUUGAUCUUGUGAUUGGUAACUGGUAACAGCCUCACAGACCAUUUAGUCUACUACGGUGUAGAAUUAUUGGCGGAGACAUGGGGAUCGUGCAAAAUCAUCAAGGACCCACGAUUGAAGGAAUAUGGAAGCGAAGACAAAGGAAACCAUAUGCUUUCCAGGAGUCCUGCUUCUGCAUUGAGGCUGUGUUAAGACUCUGAUGCCAAGAGUAACUCAACGUAAAAUGCUCCUAAGUAAGCACCUAAUUUCAUGAAGAUCAUUAGGCAGCUCUGGAUGAAUUUUAUUCUCGUAAUGCAUUCCAUCAAUCUUUUUCCAUGUCCAUCACAAUAUGCAUAGGAUCUCUACCGAAAUUCACUUGUAAUGUAAAAAGCAGGAAGUUGCAUGUAUCAUCCUUGUAAAUACAACUAUGUGAUGCCUAUUGA